GAAGGGAUAGCUCAGUAGUAGAGCGAGGGCUUAACAUGCCCUAGGUCCUGGGUUCAAUCACCAGUACCUCCA
rnacentral:tRNA from 1 species